GAGGAGGGGGCCCGGCGGGCCAGCUGUGGUGGCCUCGAUUGCGGCCACCACCCCCUCAAUCGGGGUUGGCAGCCAUCACAGAGGUCGCCGCAGACCCCGAUUGGGGGGUGGUUGCCGCAAUAGAGGCCACCGCCGCCGGCUUGCCGGCCCCCUCCUCCCUUUGUCUUCAGCUUAUCCUUCCCCUCCCUUUUUUUUUUAAAAAAAAAUUUUCUGAAUUUUUUUUAUUAAAUAAAAAAAAUGUGGGGUCCUUUUAUCGAAUAAUAUGGAGCCAAAUAGUUUCAGCUCUGAUCAGCUGCCAGUCCAACGGAGGAAGGAGAGUAGCAGCUUGUGGUGCCGAGGUCAAACACUGACUCGAUGAGCGCUUUCCUCUCUGCUUGCCUCAAGAAGCUCUGCGACGCGGUUUGUCGGUUCUCUCCCAGCUCCAGAACUCAUCCUCUCAGGUCUUUGGAGGAAUCGUUAUGGUUUCUAUACAAGUAUGUCCAGGAAACCGCAGAGAGAAUGGAGCAGAUGGAUCAAAUUCUCGUCUCGAUGGUCGAGCAUGUACGAAGUUAAUCGCACUACCAUGCAUUAGAUUAUUGGUGUGAACUCUUCUGAUGCAAAUGUGUUCCACUUGCGAAUUGUCUGAGCAAUUUCAAUUAAUCGCUAUGGGGGAUCAUCAAAUCAUCAUGUCUAAUUUUUUCUUGUAAAUAAUUUUUUUUUCGAUUACAAGAGAGAUUUAUAUAUGUAGUAUAAUGGAAUAGAAAUUCUGUAAAUUAUAUCGACCGUAAGCUCACCGCGUCA